rnacentral:lncRNA from 1 species
UUGGAAAGACUCGAACUCACAACCUCUCGGUUGGAAGUGGGGGUUGCUUACCAUCAGAGCAACCCCUCUUGUCUAACGGAUCUCAACUCUAAAUUUUGGAAUAUUACCUGGGUAAAUCUAUUAGUUUCUGGUCGUGAUUUUAGUCUAUGUUGAAGCUCCAUGAGUCUACUUUGCACUGCUGCAAACCGUUCAUGAUUUCGGUAUCCCUUCAAAAAGUUAUUAUGUUUCUCGUGAUGGCACGCAAAUCUGAAACCAUCAGCGAAUUCGAAGUAAGAACCUGAUUUCGAAGAGAUUACUUGAACAAAUCUAUGAUCUAUGUGAUCGUGAUUUUCGGAUAUGUCGAAACUUCACGAGUUUACUAUGCAGUUCCGCAAACGGUUCGUGAUUUCAGUAUUCCUUCAAAAAGUUAUUGAUUUCUCGUGAUCACACGUGAAUCUAAAACCAUCAGCGAAUUCGAAGUAAGAACUUGAUUUCGAAGAGAUUACCUGAACAAAUCUACGAGCUACGUAAUUGUGAUAUUUGGAUAUAUCAAGGCUCUACGAGUCUACGUUCCAGAUCCACUAGCCGUUUAAGAUUCAGGUGCUCCUACAACAAGUUAUAAAUUUUCUCCUGCAAGUUCUCCAAGCCGCCAGGAAAGUUCUAUCACAAAGACAAUAAGGAAAGACUCGAAGAGUUGGUAUGAAUAUCAUGCAUCAGAAUGAGUCCUUAUAUAGACCACCGAAGGUAGUCUUUGAUUCGUUUCCAAUGUGGUUUCAUUGAGCUGUCACUCUUUGAGAAGAACUCAAAUUUCAGGAUUGAGGAGUUUAUGUUCUAAAAUUUCUGGACAAGAGAAAGUUAGCUUCAUAGUGGAAGACAAAUUGCAAAAAUUAGACUCCUGCAGAAGACAAACUGAAAAGAAAUACUAGGAGUCCAAUUGAAAAGAAUCAUCUGGACAAGAAAAGUUGCGUCCUAAAACAAGACAAAUUGAAAAGAAAAAUACUGCUCUCUCUUGUUCCUAAAAGAAAAGGGAGUUUUCC